UCGAGAAUCUUCCACAAUGGGCGAAAGCCUGAUGGAGCGACGCCGCGUGAGUGAUGAAGCCCUUCGGGGCGUAAAGCUCUUUUCUUAAUGAGAAAUGAUUGGUUUCGGCCAAUUGUGAUUUUAGUUAAGGAAUAAGGGGCUGCUAACUCUGUGCCAGCAGCAGCGGUAAUACAGAGGCCCCAAGCGUUAUCCGGAAUCACUGGGCGUAAAGGGUGAGUAGGCGGUUUUAAUAGUGAAUGGUUAAAUUUUCAAGCUUAACUUGAAAGCUGCCAUUCAAACGUUAUAACUAGAGCAAGCGAGAGGCUGAUGGAACUUACCAAGUAGGGGUGAAAUCCGUUGAUAUGGUAGGGAACACCAAAGGCGAAGGCAUUCAGCUGGUGCUUUGCUGACGCUGAAUCAC
rnacentral:rRNA from 1 species